rnacentral:rRNA from 1 species
UAGGGAAUCUUCCACAAUGGACGAAAGUACUGAUGGAGNAACGCGCGUGAGUGAAGAAGGGUUUCGGCUCGUAAAACUCUGUUGUUAAAGAAGAACAUAUCUGAGAGUAACUGUUCAGGUAUUGACGGUAUUUAACCAGAAAGCCACGGCUAACUACGUGCCAC